ACGGGAGGCAGCAGUGAGGAAUAUUGGUCAAUGGGCGGAAGCCUGAACCAGCCAAGUCGCGUGAAGGAUGAAGGUAUUAUGUAUUGUAAACUUCUUUAGCAGCAGAGUAAUAAGGUCCUCGUGAGGGAUGAUGCAAGUAUGCUGAAAAUAAGGAUCGGCUAACUCCGUGCCAGCAGCCGCGGUAAUACGGAGGAUCCGAGCGUUAUCCGGAUUUAUUGGGUUUAAAGGGUGCGCAGGCGGCUUUUUAAGUCAGCGGUAAAAUCGGGGGGCUCACCCCCAUCCUGCCGUUGAUACUGGAGAGCUUGAUUGCGGUUGAGGUUGGCGGAAUUCGUCGUGUAGCGGUGAAAUGCAUAGAUAUGACGAAGAACACCGAUUGCGUAGGCAGCUGACCAAGCCGUAAAUGACGCUCAUGCACGAAAGUGCGGGGAUCGAACAGGAUUAGAUACCCUGGUA
rnacentral:rRNA from 1 species